rnacentral:rRNA from 1 species
UACGAAGGGGGCUAGCGUUGUUCGGAAUUACUGGGCGUAAAGCGAACGUAGGCGGUGUUCCAUGUCAGAGGUGAAAGCCUGGGGCUCAACUCCAGAAUUGCCUUUGAAACGGGGAACGCUUGAGUCCGAGAGAGGAUGGCGGAAUUCCUAGUGUAGAGGUGAAAUUCGUAGAUAUUAGGAAGAACACCAGUGGCGAAGGCGGCCAUCUGGCUCGGUACUGACGCUCAGGUUCGAAAGCGUGGGGAGCAAACAGG